GACGAACGCUGGCGGCGUGCUUAACACAUGCAAGUCGAACGGAAAGGCCCUGCUUUUGUGGGGUGCUCGAGUGGCGAACGGGUGAGUAACACGUGAGUAACCUGCCCUUGACUUUGGGAUAACUUCAGGAAACUGGGGCUAAUACCGGAUAGGAGCUCCUGCUGCAUGGUGGGGGUUGGAAAGUUUCGGCGGUUGGGGAUGGACUCGCGGCUUAUCGGCUUGUUGGUGGGGUAGUGGCUUACCAAGGCUUUGCCGGGUAGCCGGCCUGAGGGGGUGACCGGCGACAUUGGGACUGAGAGACGGCGCAGACUCCUACGGGAGGCAGCAGUGGGGAAUAUUGCACAAUGGGCGGAAGCCUGAUGCAGCAACGCCGCGUGCGGGAUGACGGCCUUCGGGUGGUAAACCGCGUUCGCCUGAGACGAAGCGUGAGUGACGGUAAUGGGUAAAGAAGCACCGGCUAACUACGUG
rnacentral:rRNA from 1 species